GCUGGGCAUGGUGGCACAUGCCUAUAAUCCCAGUCACCUGGGAGGCUGAGGUUGGAGGACCUGUCUCUUGAACCCAGGAGUUUUCAGUUCCAAUGGGCUAUGCCAAUCUGGUAUCCUCACUAAGUUUAGCACUAAUAUCGUAAGCCCUAGAGUGGAAGGCAGGGAGGAGCAGAUUGCCUAAGGAGGGGCAAAUCAACACAGGUCUGAAAUGAAGCAAAUCAAAGUUCCUGAGCUUAUCAGCAGUGAGAUUAGGCCUAUUAACAGCUCCUAUACUUCCAGCCUGACUGAGAGAGGGAGACUCAGU
ensembl:misc_RNA Metazoa_SRP Metazoan signal recognition particle RNA